AGAAUAUUGCACAAUGGACGAAAGUCUGAUGCAGCGACACCGCGUGAAGGAUGAAGGCCCUAGGGUUGUAAACUUCUUUUAUUAGGGAAUAGCAAGGAAGGUACCUAAUGAAUAAGCAACGGCUAACUACGUGCCAGCAGCCGCGGUAAUACGUAGGUUGCAAACGUUGUCCGGAAUCACUGGGCGUAAAGGGUCCGUAGGCGGUUUGAUAAGUCUCAUAUGAAAGCUUCAAGCUCAACUUGGAGAUGUUGUGAGAUACUGUCAGACUAGAGACUGUUAGAGGUAAGUGGAAUUCCAGGUGUAGUGGUGAAAUGCGUAGAUAUCUGGAGGAACACCAGUGGCGAAAGCGACUUACUGGGACAGUUCUGACGCUAAGGGACGAAAGCGUGGGGAGCGAACCGGAUUAGAUACCCGGGUAGUCCACGCUGUAAACGAUGAUUGCUAGGUUUUCGGGGCAUCGACCCCUCGUGAGCCGAAGUUAACGCGUUAAGCAAUCCGCCUGAGUAGUACGGCCGCAAGGCUAAAACUCAAAGAAAUUGACGGGGGACCGCACAAGCAGCGGAGCGUGUGGUUUAAUUCGAUGGUAAGCGAAGAACCUUACCAGGGUUUGACAUGUAAGUAGUACUGAACCGAAAGGGGAUGGACCCGCAAGGGAGCUUACACAGGUGUUGCAUGGUUGUCGUCAGCUCGUGCCGUGAGGUGUUGGGUUAAGUCCCGCAACGAGCGCAACCCUCUUUGUUAGUUGCACUCUCUAACGAUACUGCCCUUAAAAGGGAGGAAGGUGGGGAUGACGUCAAAUCAUCAUGGCUCUUACACCCUGGGCUACACACACGCUACAAUGGCAAGUACAGACGGUCGCCAACCCGCGAGGGGGAGCUAAUCCGAUAAAACUUGUCUCAGUUGGGAUUGCAGGCUGAAAUUCGCCUGCAUGAACGUGGAGUUGCUAGUAAACGCAGGUCAGCACACUGCGUUGAAUACGUUCCC
rnacentral:rRNA from 1 species